UGGGGAGUGCAGGAUCCUGGGCUGUGUCCCCCGGCGCCCUGGGAUCUGGGGCCUGCACCCCUGGACUCGCGUUCCUGCGGCUGCGCAGUCCCCU
rnacentral:pre_miRNA from 1 species